AUACGUAGGGGGCGAGCGUUGUCCGGAAUGAUUGGGCGUAAAGGGCGCGUAGGCGGCCCGGUAAGUCUGGAGUGAAAGUCCUGUUUUUAAGAUGGGAAUUGCUUUGGAUACUGUCGGGCUUGAGUGCAGGAGAGGUAAGUGGAAUUCCCAGUGUAGCGGUGAAAUGCGUAGAGAUUGGGGGAACACCAGUGGCGAAGGCGACUUACUGGACUGUAACUGACGCUGAGGCGCGAAAGUGUGGGGAGCAAACAGGAUUAGAUACCCUGGUAGUCCACACUGUAAACGAUGAAUGCUAGGUGUAGGGGGUAUCGACCCCUUCUGUGCCGCAGUCAACACAAUAAGCAUUCCGCCUGGGGAGUACGGCCGCAAGGUUGAAACUCAAAGGAAUUGACGGGG
rnacentral:rRNA from 1 species